rnacentral:rRNA from 1 species
AUACGGAGGGGGCUAGCGUUGUUCGGAAUUACUGGGCGUAAAGCGCACGUAGGCGGAUUAAAAAGUUAGAGGUGAAAUCCCAGGGCUUAACCCUGGAACUGCCUUUAAAACUAGUAGUCUAGAGUUCGAGAGAGGUGAGUGGAUUUCCAAGUGUAGAGGUGAAAUUCGUAGAUAUUUGGAGGAACACCAGUGGCGAAGGCGGCUCACUGGCUCGAUACUGACGCUGAGGUGCGAAAGCGUGGGGAGCAAACAGGAUUAGAAACCCUGGUAGUCC